rnacentral:rRNA from 1 species
UAGGGAAUCUUCGGCAAUGGGGGGAACCCUGACCGAGCAACGCCGCGUGAGUGAAGAAGGUUUUCGGAUCGUAAAGCUCUGUUGUUAAGGAAGAACGAGUGUGAGAAUGGAAAGUUCAUACUGUGACGGUACUUAACCAGAAAGGGACGGCUAACUACGUGCCAGCAGCCGCGGUAAUACGUAGGUCCCGAGCGUUGUCCGGAUUUAUUGGGCGUAAAGCGAGCGCAGGCGGUUAGAUAAGUCUGAAGUUAAAGGCAGUGGCUCAACCAUUGUAGGCUUUGGAAACUGUUUAACUUGAGUGCAGAAGGGGAGAGUGGAAUUCCAGGUGUAGCGGUGAAAUGCGUAGGUAUAUGGAGGAACACCGGUGGCGAAAGCGGCUCUCUGGUCUGUAACUGACGCUGAGGCUCGAAAGCGUGGGGAGCGAACAGG